CCUACGGGGGGCAGCAGUGAGGAAUAUUGGUCAAUGGGCGCGAGCCUGAACCAGCCAAGUAGCGUGAAGGAUGACUGCCCUACGGGUUGUAAACUUCUUUUAUAAAGGAGUAAAGUGAGGCACGUGUGCCUUUUUGUAUGUACUUUAUGAAUAAGGAUCGGCUAACUCCGUGCCAGCAGCCGCGGUAAUAAGGGGGAUCCGAGCGUUAACCGGAUUUAUUGGGUGUAAAGGGAGCGUAGGUGGAUUGUUAAGUCAGUUGUGAAAGUUUGGGGCUCAACCGUAAAAUUGCAGUUGAAACUGGCAGUCUUGAGUACAGGAGAGGUGGGCGGAAUUCGUGGUGUAGCGGUGAAAUGCUUAGAUAUCACGAAGAACUCCGAUUGCGAAGGCAGCUCACUGGACUGCAACUGACACUGAGGCUCGAAAGUGUGGGGAUCAAACAGGAUUAGAUACCCUUGUAGUC
rnacentral:rRNA from 1 species